rnacentral:rRNA from 1 species
UACGUAGGUGGCAAGCGUUAUCCGGAAUUAUUGGGCGUAAAGAGCUCGUAGGCGGUCUGUCACGUCGGCUGUGAAAUCCCGAGGCUCAACCUCGGGUCUGCAGUCGAUACGGGCAAACUAGAGUAUUGCAGGGGAGACUGGAAUUCCUGGUGUAGCGGUGAAAUGCGCAGAUAUCAGGAGGAACACCGGUGGCGAAGGCGGGUCUCUGGGCCGACACUGACGCUGAGGAGCGAAAGCGUGGGGGAGCGAACAGG